rnacentral:lncRNA from 1 species
AGCUAGAAUACUAUCGAUAGCAAACGGGCUCCGUUGCCACCCAUUUGUUCGAUGAUAGUCUCCAAAUCGACGAUCGGCACCGUUGAACAUGAUCUAUACCACUUGAAGUGUUUAGAAAUCAAAUUUCAAAUCUUUUCGACAUCAUUUGCCUAAUGAUCAAAGGGUUUCAACAUUUGUAAUUUUAAUGGUCGAUAUGAGGCGUUUUCUCAUUUAACGGCGUAAAGAUAUCGAAAUCAAUUGAAUUUUUGUUAGAAAAUUCUUUAAACUAUUUAAAACAACAUCUAUACUCUUGAUCUUGAUUACAAGACUCAUAUAAUCAUUUCUUAAAGAAUAUUCAUUUUUGGCCAUUCAUUUUU